rnacentral:rRNA from 1 species
UACGAAGGGGGCUAGCGUUGCUCGGAAUCACUGGGCGUAAAGCGCACGUAGGCGGAUUGCUAAGUCAGGGGUGAAAUCCUGGAGCUCAACUCCAGAACUGCCUUUGAUACUGGCGACCUUGAGUCCGGGAGAGGUGAGUGGAACUGCGAGUGUAGAGGUGAAAUUCGUAGAUAUUCGCAAGAACACCAGUGGCGAAGGCGGCUCACUGGCCCGGAACUGACGCUGAGGUGCGGAAAGCGUGGGGAGCAAACAGG